GACGCCAUUUUGUUUUUGACAAUUUUCUCUCAGUUUUCUGUUUGGGUCUGCUAAAGAUUGCUUUUUAUAAAUGAAAUAUAGUAGUUAGAAGUUUAAUUAUUGAAAAACAAUAUUUUAUCUUAAUUAUUGCUCCAACUUUAUCAGCAAUAAAAAUUAUGCGCGACCGUCAAAUAAUUGAGUAUGUACAUUUUUGGAUGAAGUUAAGAGUUGUCUAAAAGUUUUCAAGUUGAUUUUAUGCUUGGAAUAUCAUUUACAACCUUUUGAUUGGAUAUAGAAUGAUUUGGUGAUUUAUUGUGGAUACCAAUACCUGAUUAUAUCCUGAAAUUAAGCCUGAAUAAAGGGAUUCAACUCUUCACAUCUAACAUUCAAGGUAUAGGCCUAUCUUCAUUGGAGAUUAUAUAAUCAUUCAAACGAAAUCGUAACUUGAGAUUUUGUUCUACAAUAUUCAUGUAUUUGAACCACGACAACCUGAUUCAACUCUUCAUGCAACAUACAAGAAUACAAGUGUAUUGAAAUGUGGAAGCAGAAUGAUCGCGCAGAGGAAUCUUACUGCUUUGGGAGAAUACCUAGACGAUUUCAGAAGACUUGGGGAAGAAAGUUACUGCUCUAAUCUCCAGCCUUGGAUUACUUCACAACCUGAUGCAUUAUAUACAACCAUACGGAAUUUUCUUCAGGAAAGGGAAUCGGCAGUCGACUAUAGGAUACCUAGGACUGAUUCUAUUUUCUCCAAAAUAAACUCAUUUUUAUCUUAUGAUUUUUUUCAUUCAUCUUAUUAUUUUAUGAUUUAUUAAUUUAUAAUAAAAUAUUGUUUUUUGUUUACAUCAUUUUAUUUUAUCAUUCAAUUCAUUUUUAUUUCAUCAUUCGUUAUUUUCAUUUAUUAUAUUUUUUAUUUCAUUUGUCAUUGUAUUGAAGAGUUGUUGUUGGUUCAUGAGUGAAUUGAUCUCGGGACGUUACUAUUAUUCCUGUCUAGUUCAUUUCCGCUAUGAUUUUCAAAGCUGGGUUAUCCUAAUAGUCAUGAAGCUUCAUUGUUUUAUAAUCCCAAUUUAUAAUUAUUUUGGAAAUAUAUUCUGUGUCGACUUGUAUACCCCCACCCUUCUGUAUCCAAGGAUACUUUCACUACAAAUUCAAUCAUAUUUGUCAAUGUUUUUCCAAUUGCUGUGUUGUGUAUUUUAACUGUAUUCUAUUGGGUGGAAUAAAAUAUACUAAUUGUAUUUAUAGAAAUAUCCGUAGGCUUUUAAUUACCAAUCAUUGAGUAUUUAUUUUCCCCCAAAACAAUCUGAGAUAAAGUCCCUCUAUUGAUCGAGGAGGUAGCCAUUUUGAGUCAACUUAUUGAAAGUGUGUUUAGAGUGAGUUUUAAUAGCGUUCUUUGAAGCAGCCGCACACAGGGACAAUAGUAGCGUCCACUAGCUGUGGUGGGAACACGGAAGUGGGAAUGUGAUAUACAUUUGAGUAGUGGUCAUUCCUAAUUCCGCGUUCCCCUAGCAGCUAAUAACCGCUACUGAUGAACCUGUGUGCAACGAGCUUUAGUACUGGUCUAUAAAUUCAGGGCACAGACUUUAUAGAUUAAUCAUUCAUGUUGAUGUGCCUAUAAAAUGACAUAAUUUGAUUGUUAUGAUGGUUGAUAAGCAAGCAAGCGCAGACUAUUGACAGAGUACUGUCAACAUUGAAGAGAAAGU
rnacentral:lncRNA from 1 species